rfam:Trachymyrmex zeteki contig4460, whole genome shotgun sequence.
CAAAUGGUUUUUUUCAGAACCACAAAUUAUUUGAUGAAGGAAUAUU